UUGGUGGCUACCAGGGAAAGAGCCAGAAAGGCCACGUGCACAGUGAUCAUCAGAGCAGCUCCAGUUCCGCUCCGAUAACAGCCCCGAGAUGCAGCAUCCCCACCCCACAGACGAAGAAACCAGGGCUCACAGAGUUGCAGGAAUCUCACAAAGCCACAGAGUGAGGAGGAGGUGGGCCUGAUGGCCCGCUCAGAGCGCAAGAGUCUCCCCACUGUCCCCAUGGGGCUGCCGCCCUAGCACCUGGGCAACAGCCAGAUUUUGCCCCCAGAUGGAAUGGGGAAGUGAGAGGUGUGUGGGCAGCGGGACCAAAGACAAAGGGAUCAGCCACAGAGGUCCCUGUGCAGUGGAAUUGGUUUAGGGUCCAGGUAAGAGAUGCCCAUCCUGACCCUCCCCAGGCCAGGCCCUGGAGAAUAAAUCCACCGUUCCCCUCGA